CCCGCAGAAGUUUGAUCAUGGCUCAGGACGAACGCUGGCGGCGUGCUUAACACAUGCAAGUCGAACGAUGAAGCCCUUCGGGGUGGAUUAGUGGCGAACGGGUGAGUAACACGUGGGCAAUCUGCCCUGCACUCUGGGACAAGCCCUGGAAACGGGGUCUAAUACCGGAUAYGACCUUCGAAGGCAUCUUUGAAGGUGGAAAGCUCCGGCGGUGCAGGAUGAGCCCGCGGCCUAUCAGCUUGUUGGUGGGGUGAUGGCCUACCAAGGCGACGACGGGUAGCCGGCCUGAGAGGGCGACCGGCCACACUGGGACUGAGACACGGCCCAGACUCCUACGGGAGGCAGCAGUGGGGAAUAUUGCACAAUGGGCGAAAGCCUGAUGCAGCGACGCCGCGUGAGGGAUGACGGCCUUCGGGUUGUAAACCUCUUUCAGCAGGGAAGAAGCGAGAGUGACGGUACCUGCAGAAGAAGCGCCGGCUAACUACGUGCCAGCAGCCGCGGUAAUMCGUAGGGCGCAAGCGUUGUCCGGAAUUAUUGGGCGUAAAGAGCUCGUAGGCGGCUUGUCGCGUCGGAUGUGAAAGCCCGGGGCUUAACCCCGGGUCUGCAUUCGAUACGGGCAGGCUAGAGUUCGGUAGGGGAGAUCGGAAUURCUGGUGUAGCGGUGAAAUGCGCAGAUAUCAGGAGGAACACCGGUGGCGAAGGCGGAUCUCUGGGCCGAUACUGACGCUGAGGAGCGAAAGCGUGGGGAGCGAACAGGAUUAGAUACCCUGGUAGUCCACGCCGUAAACGUUGGGAACUAGGUGUGGGCGACAUUCCACGUCGUCCGUGCCGCAGCCUAACGGCCMAUUWAC
rnacentral:rRNA from 1 species